CACUGAGUUAUGAGCAGGCGUUGUGUUGUGAAUUACUGUUUAGGUGUUGCCAUUGGCUUUUCUCUGUUAAAUUACCUGCUGUACACUUCCAAGUUCUCUGACGAUAUCCAGGGCUUUCUUUUCUCACUCCUGCUCACAGGGACCCCCACGUGCCCAUCCAGCCACGGGGUGGGGGUGGGGCAUUGCCAGGCCAUUCCAAAGAUUGCAAGAGUUCUUGGAGACGACUUGGAAUAUCUCAGCCCCAGGGAAGAUUCUAGACUUUCCUGGCUGAAACUGAAGCACGGGACCCAGGUUUGACUUUUGCUUAACUUUCCCAGUGUCCACAGGCUUGAGCCCCCAGCCUUGGCUCGGGGUCCACAGAGCCCCACAGGGUCCACAGGGCCCUGCAGGAGCAGAGCAGGGCUCCUGUGUCUCCAGCUUUCUGCCAGCUUUAAAGUCGUUCCUUGCAGCAACGCUGCUGUACAUGUGGUGGGGAACACCACCCACAUCAAAGCCCAUGUACAUAUCUCCGUGUACAUGUGUGCAUACACAUGUGCCCCUGUUAUAAAGUAGCAACGCAUGGUGUUUCUUUGGCAUUCCAAUUUGGUUUUAUUUUUUAACCCUUGAAAAUAUGGUUUUGGCGAUCUUUUCUUCUUCUCUUCCCUCUUUUCUAUUUAAUAAACACCCAUGUGACCAUGUG
rnacentral:lncRNA from 1 species